GACAAUCAGUUAAAGCCCCUUGUCUUCAUACAUGCAAGGAAGUCGUGCAAGUUCCAACGCCAAAACCUCUUCCAGAAAUUCUGGCAAUCCCUCAUAUAUCUGCCUCAGUUCAUCCAGCUCAUCACAGAAACCCUCUUUUACUAUUGUCUCAUAACCCUUCUCUUUACUUCGAUCAACAUCAAUGACACCAAUUACCUUCAGAAAAGCUGACCAGUCUGCACUUGUAGAUAUAGAACUUGGAGAGUUGAAUUUCUCAAGAGACGUCUACCCAUUGGGGUUACACACUGAGAAAAGUAAGCAAAUAUUAGUCCAAUGUUAUUUCACAGCAUCUUAAGGGCCACCAAAGCAAAUGGCUACAGAUUUAAAACUGCCAUCAUCCUCAAACCUUAUUCAUCAUCCCAAAUACAGAGAACCCUUCUUUUGCUCUGCCUAUU
rnacentral:misc_RNA from 1 species